GUGGGGAAUAUUGCACAAUGGGGGAAACCCUGAUCUAGCCAUGUCGCGUGAGCGAUGAAGGCCUUAGGGUUGUAAAGCUCUUUCAGCUGGGAAGAUAAUGACGGUACCAGCAGAAGAAGCCCCGGCUAACUCCGUGCCAGCAGCCGCGGUAAUACGGAGGGGGCUAGCGUUGUUCGGAAUUACUGGGCGUAAAGCGCGCGUAGGCGGACCAGAAAGUUGGAGGUGAAAUCCCAGGGCUCAACCUUGGAACUGCCUUCAAAACUCCUGGUCUGGAGUUCGAGAGAGGUGAGUGGAAUUCCGAGUGUAGAGGUGAAAUUCGUAGAUAUUCGGAGGAACACCAGUGGCGAAGGCGGCUCACUGGCUCGAUACUGACGCUGAGGUGCGAAAGCGUGGGGAGCAAACAGGAUUAGAAACCCGGGUAGUCC
rnacentral:rRNA from 1 species